CCCUUAGAUGUUCUGGGCCGCACGCGCGCUACACUGUUCGACGCAGCGAGUCUUAACCUUGACCGAAAGGUUUGGGUAAUCUUCAGCAAAGUCGAACGUGAUGGGGAUCGAUCAUUGCAAUUAUUGAUCGUGAACGAGGAAUUCCUAGUAAGUGCAAGUCAUCAGCUUGCGCUGAUUACGUCCCUGCCCUUUGUACACACCGCCCGUCGCUGCUACCGAUUGAAUGGUUUAGUGAGAUCUCUGGAUUGACGCUGGCUAGGGGGCGACCCUUGGCCAGACUGUUGAGAAACUGCUCAAACUUGAUCAUUUAGAGGAAGUAAAAGUCGUAACA
rnacentral:rRNA from 1 species